rnacentral:rRNA from 1 species
AUUGAGCGCUGGCGGCAGGCCUAACACAUGCAAGUCGAGCGGAUGAAGGGAGCUUGCUCCUGGAUUCAGCGGCGGACGGGUGAGUAAUGCCUAGGAAUCUGCCUGGUAGUGGGGGAUAACGUCCGGAAACGGUCGCUAAUACCGCAUACGUCCUGAGGGAGAAAGUGGGGGAUCUUCGGACCUCACGCUAUCAGAUGAGCCUAGGUCGGAUUAGCUAGUUGGUGGGGUAAAGGCCUACCAAGGCGACGAUCCGUAACUGGUCUGAGAGGAUGAUCAGUCACACUGGAACUGAGACACGGUCCAGACUCCUACGGGAGGCAGCAGUGGGGAAUAUUGGACAAUGGGCGAAAGCCUGAUCCAGCCAUGCCGCGUGUGUGAAGAAGGUCUUCGGAUUGUAAAGCACUUUAAGUUGGGAGGAAGGGCAGUAAGUUAAUACCUUGCUGUUUUGACGUUACCAACAGAAUAAGCACCGGCUAACUUCGUG